CUGCCAAAGUGCUGGGAUUACAGGCAUGAGCCACCGUGCCCAGCUGCCACUGACAAUUUUUAAGCAGGGAUAGGACAUCAUUUUUGAUACAUAGUAGAAUGAUUUGGAGAAGGGAAAAUGGAGAUGAAGGGACCUAUUAGGAGGCUAGUGUAGUAAUCUAGGCUGGAGUCUAUGCCAUACCAUCUGAAUGCAGUCACAAGAUCUUGAAAGCUAAGCAGAGUCAGCCCUGGUUAACACUUGGAUAGGAGUGAUCCAGGUUAGAAAUGUUGAUGGCCUAUACUUAACAUGUUGGAUGUGGAAAUGAAAGAUAGAUGGAUCAGUUUUGAAGGUAGAAGUAGCAGCGUUUUCUAAUGGAUUGGAUAAUCCCCAGGCUUUUGGUUCAAGUAAGUGGCUAGAUGGAGAUAUCAUUUAUAAAAAUGGAGAAUUCAGAGGUUUGUUUAGGACAUAUUCAAUUUGAAAUGUCUGUGAGACAGCUAAGUGGAGGUGUCAAAUAAAGAGUCAGAAAUGUGAGUCUGGAGUUUAAAGAGAUCUGGACUAGCCAUACAAAUUUUAUGCUGAGUCACAUCAGCAUAAAAAUGACGUUAAAUUCCAUGGAAAUCAGCUUACUCAGGCAGUGGCUGGGAGAAAGAAGAAAAGUAGUUGCUAAGGAAGCUGAGAAAGAGAGGCCAGCAAGGUAGAAGAAAACCAGGAAAUAGUGGGAAAUAGCCCAGAGAAGCUUUCAAGAGAGGAAGUGGUCAACUCUGUUGAAUGUUGCUGAGAUAUUAAGUGAGAUAAGCAGAGAAGUGCUUUAGAUUGGCAACAGAUGAUAAUGAUCUUGACAGGAGUAGUUAAGAAAUGGUGGGAACAGAGAUUCUGCUCCUCUGGGUUGGAAUCUGGGUGCUGCCAAGAUGCCGGCUUACCACUCUUCUCUCAUGGAUCCUGACACCAAACUAAUCGGAAACAUGGCACUGUUACCUAUCAGAAGUCAAUUCAAAGGACCUGCACCCAGAGAGACAAAAGAUACAGAUAUUGUGGAUGAAGCCAUCUAUUACUUCAAGGCCAAUGUCUUCUUCAAAAAUUAUGAAAUUAAGAAUGAAGCUGAUAGGACCUUGGUAUAUAUAACUCUCUAUAUUUCUGAAUGUCUGAAGAAACUCCAAAAGUGCAAUUCCAAAAGCCAAGGUGAGAAAUAAAUGUAUACAUUGGGAAUCACUAAUUUUCCCAUUCCUGGAGAGCCUGGUUUUCCACUUAACGCAAUUUAUGCCAAACCUGCAAACAAACAGGAAGAUGAAGUGAUGAGAGCCUAUUUACAACAGCUAAGGCAAGAGACUGGACUGAGACUUUGUGAAAAAGUUUUUGACCCUCGGAAUGAUAAACCUAGCAAGUGGUGGAUUUGCUUUGUGAAGAGACAGUUCAUGAACAAGAGUCUUUCAGGACCUGGACAGUGAAGGGAACCCGGGCAGCCACAGUCUCCAGAGCCCUGGGCAGCAUUUUCCAGUGAGAUGUACACAAUCUUUUGCCUUUAUUUCGUAAAGUUUUAUACAGAAGAGAGAAGAGCAUGUCUUUACUUGAAAAACUCUUGAUCAGUAAUUUGGGUGGGAGACAAGAAAGUGGGUUAUCAAGGGUGAUUUGAAGUUUUCUGCAGCAUUAAGCUGGCGCUUAAUAAGAAUAAGUCAUAAUAAAGAAAUUUCUAACAUUCCA